rnacentral:lncRNA from 10 species
ACCCUCCAGGCGCCCCAAGUCCAGCCCUGCCGCUCUCGGGCUCCCGGGGCAGAAGGAGGGUCGAGGCCCCCUUCCUUACUCCCGAGCCCUGGCCGUUCCGUCCUGUUCGGGGGCCUUUCCCAGGGCCGCCCAGAGACCCUCUCCGAAAGUGGCCCUGCCCUAGCGGACCGAGCUCCUAUCUUGCCACCCACGGGCUGCGCCAAGAACGACCACCUCUCUUAGCCUCGGUUUUCGCUUCUGUGAAAUGGGAACAGUAACCUUUGCUGGAUUAGGGAACACGUGGAAAGGGCUAGACCAGCAACCCAUAGAGCUCAGAAAAUGGAAGGGGAAGAGGAAGCCCGUUCUCCUCCCUGCGCCCUCGUAGUGUCCCGAACUGGGGUACGGACUGCUCCGACCGCGCCCCCACGACCCGGACCGGAGAGAGGUCCCAGGAGCUGAGGGGUUCGGGCUGGGCCGCGACGCCCGCUCUCUGGGAUCAGCCUGGGGGCGAGGGUCGGCGGGGGCGGCUGAGUCAUCGCUUUCCAGCUGGGCAGACGGGCGGUUUUAUUUACCCUCUUCCUUUAAAGGGUUUAAUAGACAGGAAGCGAAA